UACCAGCACCCCGAGUGGUCGGGACGAUUAUUGGGCCUAAAGCAUCCGUAGCCGGCCUUACAAGUCCUCCGUUAAAUCCAGCUGCUUAACAGAUGGGCUGCGGAGGAUACUAUAAGACUAGGAGGCAGGAGAGGCAAGCGGUACUCAGUGGGUAGGGGUAAAAUCCGUUGAUCCAUUGAAGACCACCAGUGGCGAAGGCGGCUUGCCAGAAUGCGCUCGACGGUGAGGGAUGAAAGCUGGGGGAGAGCAAACCGGG
rnacentral:rRNA from 1 species